UCUGCUGCGAACUAAAAAAAAAACUAUGUAGAUUUUUACAUUAUUUUUACGCUUAUAAUAGUGUAUCCAUGCAUAGGUUCAAAUUUCCACAGUAGGCAUGCCUAUCCAUGAUGGUGGUCCCAGUCAUGUAUCGCGACUUACCA